GACUUCGCGGUAAGUCUAACCCUAAUUUCGUAUGAUAAUCUUUUGCGACGUGUCUCUGCAAGACAUCGGGGAAAGUGAAAUGAUUAUAAACCUUUCUGCGACGUCGUGUCCUUGUACAAAAUUAGGGUUAGACUUAUCGCGACGUC
rnacentral:pre_miRNA from 1 species